rnacentral:rRNA from 1 species
GACGAACGCUGGCGGCGUGCCUAAUACAUGCAAGUUGAGCGAUGAAGCUUGGUGCUUGCACCAAUUUGAAGAGCAGCGAACGGGUGAGUAACGCGUGGGGAAUCUGCCUUUGAGCGGGGGACAACAUUUGGAAACGAAUGCUAAUACCGCAUAAUAACUUUAAACAUAAGUUUUAAGUUUGAAAGAUGCAAUUGCAUCACUCAAAGAUGAUCCCGCGUUGUAUUAGCUAGUUGGUGAGGUAAAGGCUCACCAAGGCGAUGAUACAUAGCCGACCUGAGAGGGGGAUCGGCCACAUUGGGACUGAGACACGGCCCAAACUCCUACGGGAGGCAGCAGUAGGGAAUCUUCGGCAAUGGACGAAAGUCUGACCGAGCAACGCCGCGUGAGUGAAGAAGGUUUUCGGAUCGUAAAACUCUGUUGGUAGAGAAGAACGUUGGUGAGAGUGGAAAGCUCAUCAAGGGACGGUAACUACCCAGAAAAGGACGGCUAACUACGU